rnacentral:rRNA from 1 species
UACGAAGGGGGCAAGCGUUGUUCGGAAUUACUGGGCGUAAAGGGCGCGUAGGCGGCUUAUCAAGUCAGGCGUGAAAUUCCCGGGCUCAACCUGGGGGCUGCGCUUGAUACUGAUUGGCUUGAAUGCGGGAGAGGAUAGUGGAAUUCCCAGUGUAGAGGUGAAAUUCGUAGAUAUUGGGAAGAACACCGGUGGCGAAGGCGGCUAUCUGGCCCGUAAUUGACGCUGAGGCGCGAAAGCGUGGGGAGCA